GUGAAUCUAGCCUGAAUACAGAAAGACGCUUCCGGUCUCAAUUUCUGGAUGGGAGAUGUUAAAAAAGUAAAAGCCCAAGAAUAGUGCAGUAGAACAGUAUGAACGAAAUUCAGCUCCAAAUGAAACAAGUAACUUUCAAUAAUAAUGAGUUAGCUUAACCAGUUAUCGCUCUCCAAUCUAAACAAUUUACCUAUAGUUGUCUGGAGGGGUUGGAAGUUGUUCCCCUCAGACUCGUCGCUCCUGAUACCUGUUCUGCACCGGUAUUUUAUCUAACCGGCCUGAACCAUUGCACACAGUUAAGACGAUACCGACUGCGUCGAAGUAACCGUUAAGAAUAUAAAAGCGAAAUUAAGAAGACUACUACAGCAGUAGUUCGAAGGUUGAGCCACUUUUAGCUUUAGUGUACCUAAGGCUUUUUUGUUUUUAUUCAGCCAACAAAAGGGCACAGUAUUGUAUGUUUUGUUUCGAAUAUUAGCUAGCUUGCUCAGCAUGGUGAACUGAUAGCUAGUGCUAGCUAAUCUAGUAGAGGAGUACUGAAGUGAAUACUGUGUACCGCCGUCAUUUUGCAAACGAACGUGCUGCUCAAAUAGCACCCGAGUAAUCCGGACACUCGUGGUUCCUUUGAGGCAGCCUACGUGGUAGCCACGCCACUGAAUAGCGCUCCUAGCUACCAGGACCGUUAGCAGUUCCAUUCAGCUACGUGGGAGGACCAGUUUGCCAGGACCGAUUGGCGGCUAGCUACGUGGGAUUGCAAACAGACAGACUGGAUGCAAUAUCAACGGUGCACGCGGCACAAACGUGGUGGUCGUGAGUAGCCCUUAUUGGACGCAAAAGAAAACAUUUAACAGGCCUGCAACGGGGGAUGAACUGAUUAUUUUAUUUGUUGUUUUCCAUGCCGGCUUUUGUAUUUUCUUUUAUAUCUGUAUGCAUGUCCCUGUUUGUAAGAGGUGACUAAUUUCAUGUGAACACAUGCCUAAAGUUAUGUUAUACUAGGGAGAGUUUUUGACAGUUACUAUUUUGUGUGGCUUAUUAUUAGCUCCCUUAUUGAUAAUUUAGUUUCAACUGUAAGUUGCUGGUUUAUUGCAGUUCAUUGAUUAGGGAGGUUGCUAUUUUCAUUAUUGACCUAGUGCCCAUAUCAAUUGAGUUUGCUAUACAUUUCUUCAAUAUAGUUUAAAUAGCCUAAACAUAACUAAAUCUUAUUUGUGGUAGGGAAUCAUUAUUAUUUCAAAUACAUGACUAUUUUGGUUAAAUAAAUUAUUUGUAGAUAAUUGUAAAUGUGUUAUGGACUCCACUCACUUCAAUUAGUUGACAUUAUUCAGGUGGCACAAAGUGAACUCAGGUAACAGCCGAGUCUUAACAGGGAAUUGACUCUAGGGCUACACUUAUUUAUCUCAAAUGCUAUGUAUACAGUUCAACAUUUGGAAGUGCUAAUCCACCGCAAUCUUGUGAAGUUAGUAGUUUCUUAAGUCUAAUUCUGGGCCUUUUCCCAUUCCAUAAGAACUCUGUAAUUAACUUGUUAUAUUGCUUAAAGAUUCCAUCAGAAACUGUCACUGGGAUCAUCAUAUAAAUGUAAUUCAAUUGUGGAGCCACCACUAUCUUAAUGAUACUCAUUUUUCCCCACAAAGUCAGUUUAAGUAGCUUCCAUUUGUCCAAAUUCAGCUUAAUUUUCUGUAUUAAAGGGGACAAGUUAAUAUUAAUUAUGUUUUCCAACUCUGGACACAAUCUUAUACCUAAAUAUUUCAAUCCAGUUUGGACCCACUUAAACUGAAAUUUGGCAAAUAUUGAUUGACUGCAUUCUUUCGAUAUCGGCAUACAUUCAGAUUUCUGCCAAUCUAUUUUAUAGCCUGACAGUUUUGAAAAAGACUAUUGAUGCCAGAAGAUGAGGUAUUGACAGUAGAGGAUCCUCAAUAACCAAUAAAAUAUCGUCUGCAUAGAGGAACAUUUUGUAUUCCUCUUCCCCAUGUGAGACCCCUUUUAAUUCUGCUCUCGGCAAUAGCUAGGGGUUCCAGAAAUAAUGUAAAUAGCAGAGGGCUGAGAGGAUCUCCCCGCUUAGUUCCACAUGUCAAUUUAAAGUAACAGUAUGCAACAAUUGUACCUUAAAAUAACAGCUUGAAAAAAAUUGUGCCGCUACAAUGACUUUUAAUAUGGCGAUUUGCGCCUCCGCCAUUGCCAUCGGGGGUCUGUGGGGAAAUAACUCCGCUAUGUAGGAUUCUGAGGCCGCCCGAUCUGGGGGCGGAUGUACUUCGACCUGCUUUCUGGCAGUGAUUACGCAAUGUCAUAUAGUGCCAGUCCACGCUCGCAGCUACAGUAUAAGGGAGAAGCAAGCGAAGUCUCAUCAGUAAUCAUCAUGGAGAACGCACCAAAGAAACAGAAGAAGACGAUGUCUGAUGAAGCAAAGAAGAGAAAAAGAGAGGCCGACAGAGCAAGAGAUCGGACUAGGGUCACAAUCGGAACAGCUUUUACUCGUUGGAGAGAGAGCUGAAAGACACAUUUGGAUACAAGUUCGAUUCACAGCUAGCCAUCUUUCUGCUGGAUUAGUAAGUAAUUUGUACUGUCUCUUGCUUGAUGUUUGACUGUGUUAUCAAAGUUGUUGACUGGCUAGUUUGUCAUACUCGAGGAAAGCACAUUUCAAUGGGUUUUGCUAGGCUUUAGGGUGUCCAGAUUUGAGUUUGUAAAAAAGAGGACGUAGUCGCUGGGGGAGCGUGCGGGGUCCAGCAUGCUAAACACUAGCCUACCCUGCCUUCUCCCCUGCGACGAAGUGUCCUCUUUUUCACAAACUCAAAUCUGGUCACCCUAUUAUAACACUUUUGGACAUUGAUGCUAGGUUUACGUCCUCUUUUUUGUCCAGGUAAAAGAGGACUUGUCCGCCCGGGUAAAAUAGGACGUCUGGUCACCCUAGCUUAGCCGCUAUCAAGACAUCUCGUUAGCGAUAUCAGACAUCUUGUUAUAACACGCUUGGACAAUGAUGCUAGUAAUAAUCGAGUAGCUAGUAAUAACGUCGUAUACACUUCUUUGUAAUGUUAUUGUGAACGCUAUCUGGCUAACUUGCCACCCAAGCUCCACUAGUCUCAGGAUAUUCCAGAUAUUUCCAAGGAAUUUAGCAAUAGUUGACUUUGUCUGCUAGCAUUCCCUUACAGCCAGUUGGUCUGUGGUUCAUGUUUCGUUAGCUUAGUAUGCUACUUGUGUGUUACCUGACUUGAAUGCCGUGAUUUGUGAAAACAUAUAUAAAGAUGUAGCGGCAAACAUACUGAAUUGGUUCUUUCUAUCAAAAGCGGUAGGGAAUGUCUACUCCCAGCAAGGGACAUGCACAGCCACCACCGCCGCCUGUAUCUAGUAUUUCAGAAGAGUCCGACCGAGAUGGGUGUAUCUUAGAACUGCGUUUCUAAACCAGCCAUGCAGGACAUUGUAAGUUGUGACUGACUUAUUUAUCUUUUGAAUCAGGGACAAAGAAUUCGCUAUGCAAGGUGUUCAACCGUUGGGCAAAGAAACCGAAGCGGUUGGUGUGCUAGAAUCUAGCAUGCACUCCUUGAGCAUUGCUGAAGAGGAGCAGCAUGACUCUCUGGAUGAGGAGGAGGCGAAUUAUAUGAGGAAUAGCAUUAUUGACAUGGAUGAUUGCUGGGAGGAUCCUAAUCAGAAGGGCUUGGAAGAAGAUCGGGACAGCUCUGAUGAAGACUAUAGUCCUUUUCUUCAUCUACGUGCCCCAGCUAUGACUGCCAACAUAAACCAACUCCUGGAGAUAAGCAUGGAUAAAGCCGUGCUUGAUGUGGCAACACCCAAUCCUCCAGGUGAGGACAUACAAGAAACUCCAGAACAACAAAAAGUUUCAGGUAUGCCCCUAUAGUUAUGCAAAUGCUAGUAGUUGUCAUACAUUUGCACAUACACACAAGCACUUAUGAUCAUAUUUCUGAACUUUUUUGUCUGUCUUGUAGAACCAUUACCAAUACAAUAAUUGUAUAACUCUGGGUGAUUUUCCAUGUUUGUUUUGUGUGCAAAAUCAGCUGCUUAGGCCUGACUGCUAAUCAGUGAUGGGCAAGCUACUUGAUAUGUGUAGUGAGCUAAGCUACAAGCUACUCUACAAUAAAUUCAGCUUCACUACACAGAAGCUACCACUCAUAAAAAUGUAGCAAGCUAAGUUACAAAAACCUGUCAAAAGUAGCUUGAUACAUUAGUAGCUACUUUCAGUUAAACAAACUGCAUGCCAAGUCAAUGCAAUUUUAGUGAUCAACACAACUGUCAGUCAGAUAAAGGCUAAAAUAUGUUUAGAUUUAUGUAUUGAACAAUAGCCCAAUACACAAAAAACAAAUGCAUGAGUUUACAUAUUAACAUCACAUGAGUUUACAAAUUAAACUUUGCUAAGAACUGUCUCCGACCUCUGUUUAGGAAAACAAUCGUGACUACCACUACCAUCAUACAGCCUUAUGUGAGUGUGUGUGUGUGUGUGUCCGUGUUGCCAACUCCUCUGUGAGGAAACUAGCUCUCCCAAAAAUCGCCAGAAGUCGUUAGAUGACGCAUGACGCACAAUAUGCAAUUCUGAGAGAGGUAACAUUUGUGCGCGAAUACAAAGUUCUGAUAUUUUGCCCGCAAAUACAAAGUUUUAAUAUUUUGCUGUUAUCUACAGCAUGCGCACGCGCAGCCGCUGUGUGAGUGGAGAUGAGACGAUGACAGCCCUCGCUGUACUCAGCUCUCGUGAGAUCGGUUGUAACGUGAACUGCAGAAAGGCAUAUGUGAGAUGCUUUUUCAGUGCUUUGUCAACACAAUAAUCCACCAAAUGACAAAAAACAUCAGAAAUGUCCAGGAGAAAUUAGCUUUCGAGGACGCUACUGCGCUACUUGAUCAAUAAAAGAGCUUAGCUACUGAAAAGUUACUUGGUUUUGUAAAUAGCGACGUUACAGUCAAGCUACUGGCAAAUGUAGUUAAGCUAGUAGCGUCGCUACAAGUAGCGACGCUACUGCCCAUCACUGCUGCUAAUCACAUUAUAAUUGAAAUUGAAAUGAAGCCUCAUCUGAUACUUUUCCUGGAGUAGCAUCUAGUGGUGAGAAGUGUGUCACUGACUGGGCCUUUCAGGGUUAUGUAUGUGUUUUUCAGGACAACUUCAGAUUUGGAGAAUUUCCAAAACCACAUACUCAUGUAUGCAGGAAAGCGGUUUGCCUACAGCCCCCCUGUUUACAAAACCCAGACAUUGCUUGCAGCAAUCGAUUACAACUAUCACAACCACCGCAUUCCUGCACGUGGCAAGGAUGGACACCGAAUGUACAGACAGUACUUCAACAAGAAGUCCGAGCGCUGGAGUGUAUAUGUGUUGAAGGAGAGCAAAGGCUACCAUUACAUUCCAGACCUGCAGAAGGCCAUCCUUGCUGAGUGGCUGGGAAGUGGAAUGGGCCUUCCCAGAAUACAGGGUCUAAGGCCUGAUGAUCCCAGGCGCUUGGGUUUGCUUGCCGCAACACAGCCUCCAUUCACAUUUGAACUUGUCGCGGCUCAGGUUUCACGGGGAGAGGGUGGUGCCCAAAGUGAAUUCUAAACUAUUCCAUUCUUUCAUAGCUGUGUAUGUAAAUAAUUUGCAAAUAAUUCAAGAGUCGUAAAAAGAAAUAUUUUUUUAUUUAUAUGUAAAUAAAAAACAAUGAACAUCAAACUGUACAUGUUUUUUGACAUUGAACAUAAAUAACAAAACUAUUUACAUAUUUACACCAAACGGCGCACCCUGAAGCCAACAUAUUGACCCAAGGGGUCAGGAAAUGCAGUUCUUAUCUUCCAAACGCAGCAGCUCGGAAUAAUAACCCUAUUGCCUUCACCCAAGCGGCCAUGCUGCCACAGUACAAAUUGGCGGUAUGCCGCAUGUCUGUACUGUCGCUGCUCCACCCCUGGUUCCUGUUCGUCAUCAACAGCAAACACAUCGUUCCAUGCAGCCCAUGCCAGCCGUAAAACGCCCGGGUCAAGAACAUAUAACUGCAUAUGUGCCAUGCUGCUGACAGAGUUUUCAGGGGCCUGGCGGCAGCAGAGCCUUUCUUGGUCUGUUGUCAUCUCCCUGCAAUUACUGCAGGUGCACCAAUGUAAAGGUCCCUACCUGUCUCUACCUCAGAAGAGGCAGAUGUUGACAAUGAUGUCGAUUCCUGCAAUAAAACCAUAGAAAAAAACUUGUUGACAUCCAAACCUCAUACACCAUUAGCCAUGCAUGAAUUAUCCUUUCGAAUUUAGCUAAUACAGUGUUAUAAUAAACUGUUUCUACUGUCUUUGACGUUAGCUAUUGUGAUCUGUCCUAUGUCGAUAAAACAACGAAAAUUGAUGUAUUGUGAUGUACAUCCCUGCCUAUGUAAUUAAUGAAAGAAUAGGCUGUAGCCUUAUCAGUGUCAUCCCUGUCUCACGGAGAUUUGUAGUUUUAGUUAGGGUGACCAGAUUUUAGUUUGUGAAAAAGAGGACACUUCGUUGCGGGGGAGGGGUAGUGUAUAGCCCUCCCCCGCGACGAAAUUUACCAAAGGCUCAGAAUGAUCGUAUUUAGAGGAUAAUUAUCGUACAUCUGCCAGCACUGACAAGGCUAUCGACCAUUGACAGUUCUCUCUACAGUCAGAGCUCGCGCAAGAAGGUGGAAUGAAAAGGAGAUACCCUUUCCAAAACUACGUAGUAACUAGUUUGUGAAAGACCCAGAGAAACACAAAUAUCCGACGAGGCAAAAUCCCGGACGCUUUUGGAAUCCCUGCCGGACGCAUUUUUUAGGUCUCGAAAUUUGUUUUAUGUCCGGGUAAAAGAGGACGUCUGGUCACCCUACUAUGCAAACAAUGCUACCGUGUUCUUCAGACCAAAGGAGGUAAUACUUCCAAUUUAGCAAAGCACCUGAAAGACCGUCUUCCGGAUUUGUUUAAAGAAUUCAAGAAGAGUUUUGAUUCAUAUUAACAACAUCCAAAGAAUGCACUUUUUCAGUUAUUUUUAUCUGUCAUACUGAAAUACACGUUACAUGAUGUUUAAGAUGGUGGGCACGUGUGUUAAGCCAUUGUAUGUUAUGUACGUAGUUUAGGUUAGCUAUGCUGUAGUUUUAACGUUAGCCUAUAGCCUACCUUGGUUAGAAGGAGAGAGAAAGAGAGCAUGUAUCUUGCAAGUAUCAUGUCAAAACUAGCGAAAUUCACUGAAUGUCCUAGUUUAAUAUAGUUACAACUGAAUAUGCAAUUGGUUUGAAAAAACACGAUUACCCAAUUUAUUUAUUGUUUUCGAUGCCAUAGACUCAAUGUAGCCUAAAAGACGAUUUGCGAGUAACAGCUGGAAUUUCGCCGC
ensembl:lncRNA